AUUGAACGCUGGCGGCAUGCCUUACACAUGCAAGUCGAACGGCAGCACGGGAGCAAUCCUGGUGGCGAGUGGCGAACGGGUGAGUAAUAUAUCGGAACGUGCCCAGUCGUGGGGGAUAACGUAGCGAAAGCUACGCUAAUACCGCAUACGAUCUAUGGAUGAAAGCGGGGGAUCGCAAGACCUCGCGCGAUUGGAGCGGCCGAUAUCAGAUUAGGUAGUUGGUGAGGUAAAGGCUCACCAAGCCGACGAUCUGUAGCUGGUCCGAGAGGACGACCAGCCACACUGGGACUGAGACACGGCCCAGACUCCUACGGGAGGCAGCAGUGGGGAAUUUUGGACAAUGGGCGCAAGCCUGAUCCAGCAAUGCCGCGUGCAGGAUGAAGGCCUUCGGGUUGUAAACUGCUUUUGUACGGAGCGAAAAGGCUUCCACUAAUACUGGGGGCUCAUGACGGUGCCGUAAGAAUAAGCACCGGCUAACUACGUGCCAGCAGCCGCGGUAAAAC
rnacentral:rRNA from 1 species